rnacentral:lncRNA from 1 species
CACCAGGAGACGAUGGAAGGUCUAUAGUGUUACAGCUCUGACCCAGGAAGUCCCAGGGUCUUGCCUUCCAGAAGGGUCGCGGCUCUUCCCUCCCUCAGUCCAACGAACAGGAGCACGUCACCUCCCGCAGCUCGGGGAGCUGGCCAGGAACGUGUUACAGCCCGUUUCGCUCCUGUCCGCAGCUGGGUGAGGCAGCCAGGAAAAUAUUACAGCUCUUCUCACGCCCGCCAUUCAGCAGGUCCUGACUUCUUGUGUGACAUCCAGAAGAAAGGGGUUACACAGACAGCUGGAGGGUGAGCAAAGUGGAGAAGUUCUCAGCAGAGAGGAGACUGGAGUGAGUUGCCCCUACCCGCAGGUGCCAACUGUAAUACAUCAGUAGCUGAACAGCUCAUUGCCCUCAAGUGUUCUUGCUCAUGCCUGGCUGAGUUAUUGAAGAAAUUGCUCAGAUCUCAAGCCCUUGUAGAUCACUGGUCCUGGCAGAUGUUAUACGUGAACAGAAAAGCCUGAACUAGGGAACUGACCAUGAAACUAAAAAGGAGAAAGCAUAUGCAAGUGGACACAAUGUAUGUCACUACCCAAUAAUUCAUCUAUCUCAGGAUCAGUACCUGUGAGAGGAGGACAGAAUUUCAAUGUGAGAAUUAAAACCUAG